rnacentral:tRNA from 1 species
UUCCCUGUAGCUCAUUUGGUAGAGCAUGGUGUUUGCAACGCCAGGGUUGUGGGUUUGAUUCCCAUGGGGGAAC